ensembl:lncRNA novel transcript, antisense to PPP1R12C
GGGCCUCCUCCGGGGAAUGCUGGGAAAUGGAGUCUACAGGCCGGAGGGGUGCCCCACGGCAUACUAGGAAGUGUGUAGCACCGGGUAAAGGGGAUGAAUAGCAGACUGCCCCGGGGCAGUUAGGAAUUCGACUGGACAGCCGCGUGGGAGGGAGUGCGGGGAGAGGCAGAGUUGUUUUGUUAUUGUUGUUUUAUUUUGUUUUCUUUGUUUUGAGACGGAGUCUCGCUCUGUCGCCACGCUGGAGUUCAGUGGCGCGAUAUCGGCUCGCUGCAACCUCCGCUUCCCAGGUUCAAGCAAUUCUGGCUCAGUCCCCAGAGUAGCUGGGAUAACAGGCGCGCGCCACCCCGCCCUGCUAAUUUUUAUAUUUUUAGUAGAGACGGGAUUUCACCAUGUUGGCCAUGAUGGUCUUGAUCUCUUGACCUCAUGAUCCGCCCGCCUCGGCCUGUAAUCCUGCUGGGAUGACGAGCGUAAGCCACCAUGCCCAGCUGGGUUUUAUUUAUUUUGGUUUUUUUCCUGACCCCUUAACUAGAAAUAAGCUCCACGAGAGCGGGAUCUUUUGUCUUCUGUGCACUACUUGUCCUCGGUUCUUAGAACAGAACCUGAGAGAACCUGAUCGCAAAUAUUUUUGGAAUGAAUGAAUGAAUGGGUUCACCAGGGCACCAUGGGAAACUGAGUCCGCAACCUAGAAGCCAUGAAAGACAGUCCACUUCCAAGCUUCCCUGGGUGACCUCGCAGGGCAUGCUGGGAAAUGAAAUUUGCGGUGAAAAGGACAGAAGAGUCAAUUUUAUACUUUUGUGGAUGUUCUAACUUCACCUGCUUAUCUGAACCAUCUUUAUGGUGCAGACUAAUAUCUAUUUUUCUGCUGUUACAGAAGAAGUGGGAACAUUUUCUUCUUAUCUUUCUGAGGUUAUUUACACCAGUGAGGAGGGCCUGCAGUUCCAAGGUUAAGCACCAACAUUCCACUGUUACCAUUGAGAGCAAAGAGCAGACCCUAGAAGUGAAAACAAAACCUUUACCACAGGAAGACAAGAGCAAAAGAUGAUGUUCUU